GAUGAACGCUGGCGGCGUGCCUAAUACAUGCAUGUCGAGCGAACAGAUGAGAAGCCUGCUUCUCUGAUGUUAGCGGCGGACGGGUGAGUAACACGUGGGUAACCUACCUAUAAGACUGGGAUAACUCCGGGAAACCGGGGCUAAUACCGGAUAAUAUUUUGAACCGCAUGGUUCAAUAGUGAAAGACGGUUUCGGCUGUCACUUCUAGAUGGACCCGAGCCGUAUUAGCUAGUUGGUAAGGUAACGGCUUACCAAGGCGACGAUCCGUAGCCGAUCUGGGGGGGUGAGCGUCCACACGGGAACUGAGACACGGUCCAGACUCCUACGGGAGGCAGCAGUGGGGAAUCUUCCGCAGUGGGCGAAAGCCUGACGGAGCAACGCCGCGUGAGUGAUGAAGGUCUUCGGAUCGUAAAACUCUGUUGUUAGGGAAGAACAAAUUUGUUAGUAACUGAACAAGUCUUGACGGUACCUAACCAGAAAGCCACGGCUAACUACGUGCCAGCCGCCGCGGUAA
rnacentral:rRNA from 1 species